rnacentral:rRNA from 1 species
CCUACGGGUGGCUGCAGUGGGGUAUAUUACACAAUGGGGGGAACCCUGAUGCAGCGACGCCGCGUGGGUGAAGAAGCGCCUCGGCGCGUAAAGCCCUGUCAGCAGGGAAGAAAAUGACGGUAUCUGAAGAAGAAGCCCCGGCUAACUCCGUGCCAGCAGCCGCGGUAAUGCGUGGGGGGCAAGCGUUAUCCGGAUUUACGUGGUGUAAAUGGGGAGCAGGCGGCGAUGCAAGCCAGGAGUGAAAGCCCGGGGCCCAACCCCGGGACGGCUCUUGGAACUGCGUGGCUGGAGUGCAGGAGGGGCAGGCGGAAUGCCUGGUGUAGCGGUGAAAUGCGUAGAUAUCAGGAGGAACACCGGUGGCGAAGGCGGCCUGCUGGACUGCAACUGACGUUGAGGCCCGAAAGCGUGGGGAGCAAACAGGAUUAGAUACCCCAGUAGUC